CUGGCUCAGGAUGAACGCUAGCUACAGGCUUAACACAUGCAAGUCGAACGGCGAAAGGGACUUCGGUCCUGAGUAAAGUGGCGCACGGGUGAGUAACGCGUGGAUAAUCUGCCCUAUGAUCGGGAUAACAGUUGGAAACGGCUGCUAAUACCGGAUACGCUCAAAAUGAACUUUUUGAGGAAAGAUGGCCUCUGCUUGCAUGCUAUCACGUAAGGAUGAGUCCGCGUCCCAUUAGCUUGUUGGCGGGUAACGGCCCACCGAAGGCAACGAUGGGUAGCCGAUUUGAGAGGAUGAUCGGCCACACUGGAACUGAAACACGGUCCAGACUCCUACGGGAGGCAGCAGUGGGGAAUAUUGCGCAAUGGGCGAAAGCCUGACGCAGCGACGCCGCGUGAGGGAUGAAGGUUUUCGGAUCGUAAACCUCUGUCAGAAGGGAAGAAACUACGUUGUGCUAAUCAGCAGUCGUACUGACGGUACCUUCAAAGGAAGCACCGGCUAACUCCGUGCCAGCAGCCGC
rnacentral:rRNA from 1 species